rnacentral:rRNA from 1 species
AACGAACGCUGGCGGCAUGCCUAACACAUGCAAGUCGAACGAGACCUUCGGGUCUAGUGGCGCACGGGUGCGUAACGCCUGGGAACCUGCACUUAGGUUCGGAAUAACUCCCCGAAAGGGGUGCUAAUACCGGAUAAUGUCUUCGGACCAAAGAUUUAUCGCCUUUGGAUGGGCCCGCGUUGGAUUAGCUAGUUGGUAGGGUAAAAGCCUACCAAGGCGACGAUCCAUAGCUGGUCUGAGAGGAUGAGCAGCCACACUGGGACUAAGACACGGCCCAGACUCCUACGCGAGGCAGCAGUGGGGAAUAUUGUGCAAUGGGCGAAAGCCUGAUCCAGCAAUGUCGGGUGAGUGAUGAAGGCCUUAGGGUUGUAAAGCUCUUUUACCCGGGAUGAUAAUGACAGUACCGGGAGAAUAAGCUCCGGCUAACUCCGUG